AGAUAGGUGAUCCCUAUCGGAGACAGUGUCUGACGGGCAGUUUGACUGGGGCGGUCGCCUCCUAAAAGGUAACGGAGGCGCCCAAAGGUUCCCUCAGAAUGGUUGGAAAUCAUUCGCAGAGUGUAAAGGUAUAAGGGAGCUUGACUGCGAGAGCUACAACUCGAGCAGGGACGAAAGUCGGGCUUAGUGAUCCGGUGGUUCCGUAUGGAAGGGCCAUCGCUCAACGGAUAAAAGCUACCCUGGGGAUAACAGGCUUAUCUCCCCCAAGAGUUCACAUCGACGGGGAGGUUUGGCACCUCGAUGUCGGAUCGUCGCAUCCUGGGGCUGUAGUCG
rnacentral:rRNA from 1 species